rnacentral:lncRNA from 1 species
GGACUGGAGAUGAAAUAAGAUUGGCCAUGAGUCAUUCAUUGUGCUGAGUGAUGGGUGGAUUUCUCUAUACUAGUCUGCCUACUUUUUGCAUAUUUUUGAAAUUUUCCAUGAGAAAAGUUAUUUUAUAAAUAUCUAUUACCUAUUCAUAGAAAAAAAUUAGAAGUAUAUACUCAAAAUGUAACAGUGGUGAUAGGUGAUUUUUAUUUUCUUCUUUGUGCUGCCCCACAGUUUCCACAUUUCUGCAAGUGUGUAUUAUUUUUAAAAUCAAGAAAGGUGUUUUUCUUGGGAAAGUGGCUACCGAUUAUUGGCCCAGCUGGAAAUGAGUAGGCUUAACGAGCAAAAACCAAGCCCUGGCUAGAGAAAUAUAAGUUAAUUAAAUUAAGGGUAGCUUCCCAGCAGAGAGAGAGAGAGAAACCAGGUAAAGGGAAGGCGAAAGUUUUAGCUUCUUCCUCUGCUAAGGAAACUUGAGCUGUGAGAAGAGGCUUUGUGACUUCCGCCUUCUGCCCCCGGAAUGUUGGGGGCAGUUGGGGUAAUAUUUGUCUGAGCCUGGUGAUGGUCCAGAGAAAGCUGCUCAAAGUCAUCAAGGAUCACAGAAGCAAUUCCAUGUGAUGAAAGAGGGAAAAGAUUCAGACUCUAGUGGGAACUUAGACACAGUAAGGGAUGGACUGAGAUUUGAGGGAAGAACAAGAAAUAAAGGCAUGGAGGAAAAGGCAAGGAAGACUGAGAAAGACGUGGUGAAAUUACCUUAAGAUUGCAAUAUUAGGAGGUUUCUAUAAUAUACAUCUGUGUCACACACCAGCCUGCACUGAACCUGUUCCUAAUGCCAACACUAGAAGGCAUUCAUGCAGUUGGCAUGACAUAGUGGUCAAGAACGCUGGAGACAGAGUGCUUUUGGUUGAAACCUGGCUCAGCCACUUAUCAGCUGAGUGGCCUGGAGAAGACUUGGAAGAAACCUCCAUCCUCUGGGACUUGGAGAAGGCUGUGCUGGAAUCUGUGUGGAGGUUAAGAAAACUAUCCCUUUGGUUGUGGCCUGAGUUUAUUAUCUCAACCCCAAUGUUGCCCUGAAAUCUGUGUUCAAGAUUCAAGAAGAUUAGGACUGCUAAGGAGAUGACCUGUCCUGCCCUGUCUAUUUUGCUGAGCCAUGUGAGACUUAUCUAAGAAACGAUCAGAAGCACUUAUAUUUCAGCACCUUGGAGAGCUACCAGUGGAUGUGGGUGAUGUCGUUUUACGCAUCAGCCAUUUGGGGCUAUGGUUCCACUGAAAACGUUGACUGGACUGCUUGAAGCGUGGCUGUCUCUUCUGACUCGCUACAUCCAGCAACCAAAGAUGUGCCUUAAAAUAUUUAACAAUUUCUCUAUUGAUACAUAUCAUACUCAUUGUUUUUGUUCUUACAAUUAUUUCUUCACUAGUCAUCUGUGGAGAAAUAUUCUUCUGUUCUGGUGCUUUUAAACUCCUAAAUUUGAAAUACUAGAUUGGUUUGCUUAUGUGAGCAUCUUUAUAAAGUCAGGGCAAUAAUUAGUUUAUUCCAGGUUUUCUCUUAUGCCAUCACCCAUGAAUCUCCUGCAUCAUACCUAGCACCUCUGAAAGAAAUAUGAGCUUUUUCAAAAGAGAGUAAAGACAUGCAUUUGAUACAGUUUUGUAAUUUCUAUUCUGUCAUACUAAUCUCAGGCUCUUAAAAACAUUUUGUUAUGGGUAAAGGAGAAAAAAUUUCAAAGAAUUUCAGGAAAAAGAAUACCUUAAAAAUGUGUAUGCUGAAAAAAUUAAAGUGAGUAUGAACAAAUGAAUGUAAUAUGUCAAUAUUAAGAGUUCUACGGCCAAAAAAGCAUUAGCAUGAUUUGAAAACAGAUUGCAUGUCUCUUUAAACAAUGGCAUCUCUAAAAAUGGGAUGCUGUUAUAAAUAUACUUCUGUUAAUUGUCUUCAUGUCAGACUUAAUUUAAUCAUAAAAAAAUUUGAUUUGAUUUUAAUACUGUAGGAAACAUAUUUUGGUUUUAAGGAUUACCUAAAAAUCAAGUUGUAAUCUUUUUAAAAAGUAUAAAAUUACUAUAUCUUCACAAAUCAGCAAGGAGUAAUGCUAGCCAGGGCUUUUCUAAGCUAACCAUACAAUCUUUUUUUUCUCAUUUUUCUUUUGGCUUUCCUUCUAUUGAAUUUCUUCUACAGGGAAUUGAUGUUGGGUAACCUUGCAACAGAUUUUAAAUCCCUUUGACUUUUAAUUUACAUUGUAUUAUUUUUACACAAAAAUCGGGUCUUGUUUCUUUCUUUUUGCUUAGGUAAACAGUUAAAAAAGCUUUAACCCAGAGAUACUUCAUCUUUUGAAAUCUGCUAAAUUUUUAACUAGCUCAAAUUUUCUUAAUUAGGCAAGAUAUAAAUAAAUUUAUAAGUAAAGUUUUUAAUCUUUUGACCCGUACAUAUUGAGCUACAGAGCAUAACAGCUACUUUAAAAAUGUAAGAAUAAGUGAUUGUAUAUCUGUGUGUGUGUGUGAGAAUGUUUAUUAAUCAUUUCUUUGUUUAUUUUAUUUUAUUCAUUCAUCAUCAAAAUAAUAGCCAAAAAUCUUCCAAUGAUUAGCUUAAUGAAGGAAAAGUUCUGUUUAAUAAAAUUUUAACAUUAAUAACAGUGUUAGGAUUAUUAAAAUGGUGUUUUGAUAUUGUCAUUCAAGCAACAUAAAAGACAUUAUAUAAAUCACUCCAUGAAAAAAAAAAGAGACAAGAUGAGUCACAUUUCCUUUCAGGCUGGCCAGAAAGAACAUUGCCAUAGAUUUGCCAGCACCUGACUAUUUUAUAACAUGGCAACAGUAUAAUAGAUUUCAACCUCAUUAAGUUUUGAGCCUGGGAUGGAACAACAUUAUGGCCAAUGGUUUAUAUUUGGCAAAAUUUAAUUUGGCCAACUUCAAUUUCCUAAAUUGGGAUCUCACUGAGAUGGCUGUUGUUGCCUGAACUCUUUUUGGGUCUUAGUGAGGUUGGCCUGAGUCUUAUGUGAGAAAGGCCAGAGCCAUGAAUUGGAUCCCAUUCUUAUUCUAUCUCUUGGUCACAGCCCACAGUUCUUGUACAGCUAACCACAACCUCAUCUUUGCAAACUUCAGAACUCUGUCUACCAAUAGGUGAAAGAAUGUUUAGUCCCUAUUCUAAUGCGUAUUGUGUGUUCAUUCAUCCUGCCAAUAUGAGUAGUAAGUGUAUUAGCAUAUUUAUAUGGUUUUCAUGUUUAUCUCUGUUAGAUAAUAAAUUUCCUGAGAAAAAGAGCUUUGCCCUAUUUUUUCAGCUUU